AGAACUUUUGUGAAAAAUAGUUUUCAAAGGAUUCCCAUCACUUUGUGUCUUCCAAAAAUCUUCCUGAUGUUUCUCGUGCAGGAUUUUUACUGCAGCCCUACACACUGGAGAAGGCCUACAGGAAGCCCUAACUGAACUGUGUAAAUAGGACAACCUAAGUAUCACAUACCCUGAAAAAUCACAAGGUAAUACAUAUUUUCAGAGUUUGAUAUUUUGUGUUCUUUAUG
rnacentral:lncRNA from 1 species